GACGAACGCUGGCGGCGUGCUAACACCUGCCAGUCGAGCGGGGAUUUAAGUGGAAGUUCUUCGGAAUGGAGAUUUAAAUUCUAGCGGCGGACGGGUGAGUAACGCGUGAACAAUCUGUCCCGGACAGGGGGAUAACACUUGGAAACAGGUGCUAAUACCGCAUAAGACCACGGCCUCGCAUGGGGCUGAGGUAAAAGGAGCAAUCCGGUUCGGGGUGAGUUCGCGUCCGAUUAGCUAGUUGGUGAGGUAACGGCCCACCAAGGCGACGAUCGGUAGCCGGCCUGAGAGGGUGAACGGCCACAUUGGAACUGAGAGACGGUCCAAACUCCUACGGGAGGCAGCAGUGGGGAAUAUUGGGCAAUGGGCGAAAGCCUGACCCAGCAACGCCGCGUGAGGGAAGAAGGUUUUCGGAUUGUAAACCUCUGUCCUAUGGGACGAAGGAAGUGACGGUACCAUAGGAGGAAGCCCCGGCUAACUACGUG
rnacentral:rRNA from 1 species